rnacentral:rRNA from 1 species
AAAGCUCAAAUUUAAAAUCUGGUAGUCUUUGGCUGCCCGAGUUGUAAUCUAGAGAAGCGUUAUCCGCGCUGGACCGUGUAUAAGUCUCCUGGAAUGGAGCGUCAUAGAGGGUGAGAAUCCCGUCUUUGACACGGACUACCGGGGCAUUGUGAUGCGCUCUCAAAGAGUCGAGUUGUUUGGGAAUGCAGCUCUAAAUGGGUGGUAAGUUCCAUCUAAAGCUAAAUACAGGCGAGAGACCGAUAGCGAA